ACUCAAAUGAAUUGACGGGGACUUGCACAAGCGGUGGAUCAUGUGGUUUAAUUCGACGCCAAACGAAGAACCUCACCAGGGUUAGAAAUCCAAACGAAUACUUAGGGAAACUUAGGUAGCCUCACAAGGGCGGUUGGACAGGUGAUGCAUGGCCGUCGUCAGUUCGUGGUUUGAACUGUUCCCUUCAGUGGGCUAACGAACGCAACCCUCAUUGCCUGUUACAAGUGUCAGGCGAGACUGCCCCCGCAAGAGCGCAUAAAGAAUUUGUGCGUUGUUGCGGGGGAGGAAGGCGAGGAUGACGCCAGGUCAGCAUGUCCCUAGAUACCCUGGGCUACACACGUGAUACAAUGCAUGCGACAACGAGACGCGACGGGGCGACCCUGAGCAAACCUUUAUAAACGCAUGCCCAGUUCGGAUUGGAGUCUGCAACUCGACUCCAUGAAGCCGGAAUCGCUAGUAAUCGCGGGUCAGCUAUACCGCGGUGAAUACGUUCUCAAGUCUUGUACACACCGCCCGU
rnacentral:rRNA from 1 species